rnacentral:rRNA from 1 species
CGAACGCUGGCGGCAGGCCUAACACAUGCAAGUCGAACGGACCCUUCGGGGUUAGUGGCGGACGGGUGAGUAACACGUGGGAACGUGCCUUUAAGGUUCGGAAUAGCUCCUGGAAACGGGUGGUAAUGCCGAAUGUGCCCUUCGGGGGAAAGGAUUUAUCGCCUUUAGAGCGGCCCGCGUCUGAUUAGCUAGUUGGUGAGGUAAUGGCUCACCAAGGCGACGAUCAGUAGCUGGUCUGAGAGGAUGACCAGCCACAUUGGGACUGAGACACGGCCCAAACUCCUACGUGAGGCAGCAGUGGGAAUCUGCGCAAUGGGACGAAAGCCUAGACGCAGCCAUGCCGCGUGAAUGAUGAAGGUCUUAGGAUUGUAAAACUUCUUUCGACCGGGG